UACGAAGGGAGCUAGCGUUGUUCGGAUUUACUGGGCGUAAAGAGCGUGUAGGCGGCUUAGCAAGUUGGAAGUGAAAUCCCGGGGCUCAACCCCGGAACUGCUUCCAAAACUGCUUAGCUAGAGUAUGUAAGAGGGUGAUGGAAUUCCUAGUGUAGAGGUGAAAUUCAUAGAUAUUAGGAGGAACACCAGUGGCGAAGGCGAUCACCUGGGACAUUACUGACGCUGAGACGCGAAAGCGUGGGGAGCAAACAGG
rnacentral:rRNA from 1 species